UACAGAGGGGGCGAGCGUUGUUCGGAAUUACUGGGCGUAAAGGGCGCGUAGGUGGCCUUCUAAGUUGAACGUGAAAUCCCUGGGCUCAACCCAGGAACUGCGUCCAAGACUGGGAGGCUUGAAUCCGGGAGAGGGAUGCGGAAUUCCAGGUGUAGCGGUGAAAUGCGUAGAUAUCUGGAGGAACACCGGUGGCGAAGGCGGCAUCCUGGACCGGUAUUGACACUGAGGCGCGAAAGCCAGGGGAGCAAACGGG
rnacentral:rRNA from 1 species